GUCUAUGCUGUAAACGAUGUGCACUUGGUGUUUGGCCGAUUAGGUUCAGUGCCGUAGCUAACGCGAUAAGUGCACCGCCUGGGGAGUAUGCUCGCAAGGGUGAAACUCAAAGGAAUUGACGGGGGCCCCGCACAAGCGGUGGAUUAUGUGGUUUAAUUCGAUGAUACGCGAGAAACCUUACCAGGGUUUGACAUGUGCAGGAAUAAGCUAGAGAUAGUUUAGCCCGCAAGGGUCUGUACACAGGUGCUGCAUGGCUGUCGU
rnacentral:rRNA from 1 species